AAAAAUUGGCAGGAACUGACUUAAUAAUUUUCGAUGAUUUAAAUCAAUAUUUCUUUCGUGCUAUUGAUUUAAUUUUUCAAUGUCACCAUUACAUGAAAUUUGGCCAGAAUCAGGACAUCUUCGAUCAAAGUCACUUUGUCACAUGGAUAAUAAAUGGACACAUCCACCUCACAUGAAUCUUGGCCCUAAUUAAAGAGUCGACUAUGCUGUGUAUGAAUCAACCGUAUCACCGUCUAUUAGACAUGCACAACUUCAGCUAUAGGUUGUAAACUGUAAACUGUUAAGAAUGUCGAUAAGGGUGAUAUAUUAGCUGGGUAUAUAACUAAUAAUAUUCAUUGCAAUACAGGAAUAAACGCAAAUAACAUAUAUUUUUAUUGCAUUCAUUUUUUGUUAUUUGAUAAUUGUUGAUAGUUUUGAAAUUGUUUUUCAUGCAUUUGAUGUAAUUGAUCGGGCACGUCUUGAUGAAGCUGCUGCAUUCUUAUUGUUACACUCUCGCAUGGAUUUGUAAAGUGAAAAUAGAACGAACCAUAAGUACAAUAUGAGAGCUGAAAUGCAAGAAAAUAAUUCAAUACAGUUUCGAAGUUAUUAUAUGAAUUUAUUAGCUUGUAAAGACCUGCACAGACAUAGUUGAUGGCCAUAGCAAAAGAUAAGAUAGUGAUUCCGUCAAACGUUUUUUCAUCAACCAUUUCCGAAAUGUAUUCCAUAAUAUCGGCAAAAUAGAAAAUCAAUGUGACGAUUGGAAAAAUGAUAAACAAAACCGACGUUGUUAACAGCAUAAUCAGUGACGGUAUCAUACAGCCUGGAUCGUUCUAUGGAAUUGAGUAGAAAAUACAAAACGAAAUAGCUGAAAAUCGGAAGCACCACUAGAAGUGAGAAAAAUGAAUGAAUUGGAAUUUGUGUUCUGGAGCAAAACCAUUUACCUCUGAAAAUUGAUCCGUCUG